rnacentral:rRNA from 1 species
GACGAACGCUGGCGGCGUGCUUAACACAUGCAAGUCGAACGGAAAGGCCCUGCUUUUGUGGGGUGCUCGAGUGGCGAACGGGUGAGUAACACGUGAGUAACCUGCCCUUGACUUUGGGAUAACUUCAGGAAACUGGGGCUAAUACCGGAUAGGAGCUCCUGCUGCAUGGUGGGGGUUGGAAAGUUUCGGCGGUUGGGGAUGGACUCGCGGCUUAUCAGCUUGUUGGUGGGGUAGUGGCUGCCCAAGGCUUUGACGGGUAGCCGGCCUGAGAGGGUGGCCGGCCACAUUGGGCCUGAGGUACGGCCCAGACUCCUACGGGAGGCAGCAGGGGGGAAUAUGGCACAAUGGGCGGAAGCCUGAUGCAGCGACGCCGCGUGCGGGAUGACGGCCUUCGGGUUGUAAACCGCUUUCGCCUGUGACGAAGCGUGAGUGACGGUAAUGGGUAAAGAAGCACCGGCUAACUACGUG